rnacentral:rRNA from 1 species
AGCUCCAAUAGCGUAUAUUAAAGUUGUUGCAGUUAAAAGCUCGUAGUUGGAUUUCUGGCCGAGCCGGUUGGUCUGCGCCGCAAGGCGUGUGUUACCGCUCCGUGUCUCGGCCCUCCUGGGGUUCCGGUCCGUCUGUCGUUCACUUCGAUGGGCGUGGCCUUCCCCUCGUUUACUGUGAAAAAUUAGAGUGUUUAAAGCAGGCUUACGCCGUUGAAUACAUUAGCAUGGAAUAAUAAGAUAGGUAGGACUUUGGCGGUCUAUUUUGUUGGUUUGCACGCCAAGGUAAUGAUUAAUAGGGACAGUUGGGGGUAUUCGUAUUCAAUUGUCAGAGGUGAAAUUCUUGGAUUUAUGGAAGACGAACUACUGCGAAAGCAUUUACCAAGGAUG